rnacentral:rRNA from 1 species
UUUAUCAAAAACAUGGCCUUUUGUUAUUAUUUAAGGUCUAACCUGCCCAAUGAGGAUUUAAAUGGCCGCGGUAUUUUKACCGUGCAAAGGUAGCAUAAUCAUUAGUUUUUUAAUUGAAAGCUGGAAUGAAAGGUUGAAUGAAAAAAUAGCUGUCUCUUGGAAAUUUUAUUAGAACUUUAUUUUUAAGUYAAAAAGCUUAAAUAAUGCUUAAAGACGAGAAGACCCUUUAGAGUUUUAUAUAAACAAUAAUUUAAAUUUUUAGUAUUUAUUAUUUAAAUUAAAAAUUUAUAUUUGAUUGGGGUGAUUGGAAAAUUUAAUAAACUUUUCUUUUUAUAUCCAUUGAUUUAUGAAUAUAUGAUCCAUUUUUUAUGAUUAAAAGAAUAAAUUACCUAAGGGAUAACAGCGUUAUCUUUUUUGAGAGUUCUAAUCGAAAAAAAGGAUUGCGACCUCGAUGUUGGAUUAAAAUUAAAUUAUGGUGUAGCAGUUAUAACUUUAGGUCUGUUCGACCUUUAAAAUUUUACAWA